rnacentral:rRNA from 1 species
GACGAACGCUGGCGGCGCGCCUAACACAUGCAAGUCGAACGGUGAAGAGGAGCUUGCUCCUCGGAUCAGUGGCGGACGGGUGAGUAACACGUGAGCAACUUGGCUCUAAGAGGGGGACAACAGUUGGAAACGACUGCUAAUACCGCAUAACGUAUCGGGAUGGCAUCUUCCUGAUACCAAAGAUUUAUCGCUUAGAGAUGGGCUCGCGUCUGAUUAGAUAGUUGGCGGGGUAACGGCCCACCAAGUCGACGAUCAGUAGCCGGACUGAGAGGUUGAACGGCCACAUUGGGACUGAGACACGGCCCAGACUCCUACGGGAGGCAGCAGUGGGGGAUAUUGGACAAUGGGGGCAACCCUGAUCCAGCGACGCCGCGUGAGGGAAGAAGGUUUUCGGAUUGUAAACCUCUGUUGACGGAGAAAAAAAUGAUGGUAUCCGUUUAGAAAGCCACGGCUAACUACGUGC